UACGGGGGAUGCGAGCGUUGUCCGGAUUCACUGGGCGUAAAGCGCGCGUAGGCGGCCAAUCAAGUCAGGGGUGAAAUGCCGGAGCUUAACUUCGGAACUGCCUUUGAAACUGAUUGGCUGGAAGAUGAGAGGGGAGUGCGGAAUUUCUGGUGUAGAGGUGAAAUUCGUAGAUACCAGAAGGAACACCGGUGGCGAAGGCGGCACUCUGGCUCGUUCUUGACGCUCUGGCGCGAAAGCGUGGGGAUCAAACAGG
rnacentral:rRNA from 1 species